CAGUACAAAACAAGCAAGGGCGCAUGGGGGAUGCCUAGGCUCUCUGAGGCGAUGAAGGACGUGCAAGGCUGCGAAAAGCUGCGGGGAUUGGCCUUGAAGAAGUGAUCCGCAGAUGUCCGAAUGGGGCAACCCACCCGCAAGGGUAUCCGCAAGGAAGCAAACCCGGUGAACUGAAACAUCUCAGUAACCGGAGGAAGAGAAAACAAGAGUGAUUCCGUUAGUAGUGGCGAGCGAGGACGGAACAGCCCAAACCGAGGGGGUUACGGCCCUUUCGGGGUAGUAGGACCUUUCAUUGAACCUAACGACACGAAUAAGAACGACUUGGGAAAGUCGGCCAGAGAGGGUGAGAGCCCCGUAUUGAGAAGGGUCGUUGGGGGGAGAGGGAUCCUGAGUAGGGCGGGGCCGGAGGAACCCCGUCUGAAGUUGCCGGCACCAUCCGGUAAGGCUAAAUACUCCAGAGAGACCGAUAGUGAACCAGUACCGUGAGGGAAAGGUGAAAAGUACCUCGAAUAGAGGGGUGAAAAGAACCUGAAACCAUGCGCUUACAAGCGGUCGGAGUCCUUCGGGAUGACGGCGUGCCUUUUGCAUAAUGAGCCUACGAGUAAUGACUGACUGGCAAGGUUAAGCUUUUUAAGGAGCGUAGCCGGAGCGAAAGCGAGUCUUCCAAAGGCGAUUUGAGUCAGUUGGUAUUGACGCGAAACCCGCGUGAUCUACCCAUGGCCAGGUUGAAGGUGGGGUAACACUCACUGAAGGACCGAACCGAUAAGCGUUGAAAAGCUUCCGGAUGAGCUGUGGGUAGGGGUGAAAGGCCAAUCAAACCGGGAAAUAGCUCGUACUCCCCGAAAUGUUUUUAGGAACAGCCUUGUGUGAUUGCUGUCGGAGGUAGAGCUACCGAUAGGACUAGGGGGAGUCACAUCCUACCAAAUCCUGACGAACUCCGAAUGCCGGCAGGCUCAACACAGGAGUGAGGGCUGGGGUGCUAAGGUCCCAGUCCGAGAGGGAAACAACCCGGACCUACAGCUAAGGUCCCUAAAGCGUGGCUAAGUUGAACAAAGGUAGUUGAGGUGCUUAGACAGCCAGGAGGUUAGCUUGGAAGCAGCUAUUCCUUUAAAGAGUGCGUAACAGCUCACUGGUCGAGCGCCUCGGCAUCGAUAAUAAACGGGCAUCAAGUCACGUACCGAAGCUUAGGAUUGCUAGUUUGACUAGCAGUGGUAGGGGAGCAUUCUUGGGGCAGGGAAGGUGUGCUGUGAGGCAUGCUGGAGCGCCAAGAAAAGCAAAUGUAGGCAUAAGUAACGAUAAACUAGGCGAAAAUCCUAGUCACCGAAAGACUCAGGUUUCCUGAUCAACGUUGGUCGUAUCAGGGUUAGUCGGGUCCUAAGGAUAAGGCGUGAGCCGAAGCCGAUGGAAAACAGGUCAACAUUCCUGUACCAGCUGGAUCGAGUGAAGCGGGGACGAAGAAAUGACCCUCCUGCGGGCGGACGAAAGUGCCCGUUGAAGGUGGUAGCUAUUACUUUAGUAGGCAAAUCCGCUAGAGUAGGUGAAAGCCGACAGUACAGAAAACCUUCGGGUGGACUGAUAUGGAGGGGAAGGGCUUCCAAGAAAAGCCGCUAAACGUUGGAUGAUCCACUGCCCGUACCGUAAACCGACACAGGUAGUCGAGUGGAGUACACUCAGGUGCCCGGGAGAGUCACGGCUAAGGAACUCGGCAAAUUGACCCUGUAACUUCGGGAGAAGGGGUGCCUCCUCAGUGAUGAGAGGCCGCAGUGAAAUGGCCCAGGCGACUGUUUAGCAAAAACACAGGACUCUGCAACGGCGAAUAGCCUACGUAUAGGGUCUGACACCUGCCCGGUGCCGGAAGGUUAAGGGGGGAGCUUAGGGGCAACCCGAAGGCUUGAACUGAAGCCCCGGUAAACGGCGGCCGUAACUAUAACGGUCCUAAGGUAGCGAAAUUCCUUGUCGGGUAAGUUCCGACCUGCACGAAUGGUGUAACGAUCUGGGCACUGUCUCAGCCGUGAUCCCGGUGAAAUUGUAGUCGCGGUGAAGAUGCCGCGUACCCGCCACGGGACGGAAAGACCCCGUGCACCUUUACUGCAGCUUACCCCUGGUGCUGGUCCAAAGAUGUGUAGGAUAGGCGGGAGGCUUUGAAGCGGUGUCGCUAGGCAUCGUGGAGCCAACCUUGAAAUACCGCCCUUCUUUGGCCUGGCAUCUAACCUUGAACAAGAGACACGGGUUGGCGGGCAGUUUGACUGGGGUGGUCGCCUCCAAAAGAGUAACGGAGGCUUCCCAAGGUACCCUCCGCCUGGUUGGUAAUCAGGCAUAGAGCGCAAUAGCACAAGGGUGCUUGACUGUGAGACCGACGGGUCGAGCAGGGACGAAAGUCGGGUAUAGUGAUCCGGUGGUUCCGCAUGGGUGGGCCAUCGCUCAAAGGAUAAAAGGUACGCCGGGGAUAACAGGCUGAUCUCCCCCAAGAGCUCACAUCGACGGGGAGGUUUGGCACCUCGAUGUCGGCUCGUCACAUCCUGGGGCUGGAGAAGGUCCCAAGGGUUCGGCUGUUCGCCGAUUAAAGUGGCACGCGAGCUGGGUUCAGAACGUCGUGAGACAGUUCGGUCCCUAUCUGUGGUGGGCGUAGGAAGUUUGCGAGGAUCUGCUCUUAGUACGAGAGGACCGGAGUGGACCAACCGCUGGUGUACCGGUUGUGGCGUCAGCUGCACGGCCGGGUAGCUACGUUGGGAACGGAUAAGCGCUGAAAGCAUCUAAGUGCGAAGCCAACCUCAAGAUGAGACUUCCCUGAAGGGUCGUCAGAGACGAUGACGUAGAUAGGAGGCAGGUGGAAGGGCUGAAAGGUCCGUAGCCGAGCCUUACUAAUGGCCCGAGCGUUUUGUACU
rnacentral:rRNA from 1 species